rnacentral:siRNA from 1 species
GUGGUGGUGCAUGGCCGUUCUU